rnacentral:rRNA from 1 species
AGCGAACGCUGGCGGCAGGCCUAACACAUGCAAGUCGAACGAACUCUUCGGAGUUAGUGGCGGACGGGUGUGUAACGCGUGGGAACGUGCCUUUUGGUUCGGAAUAACUCAGGGAAACUUGUGCUAAUACCGAAUGUGCCCUUCGGGGGGAAGAUAUAUCGACAUUCGUGCGGCCCGCGUCGGAUUAGCUAGUUGGUGAGGUAACGGCUCAACAAGGCGACGAUCAGUAGCUGGGCUGUGAGGAUGACCAGCCACACUGGGACUGAGACACGGCCCAGACUCCUACGGGAGGCAGCAGUGGCGAAUCGUGCGCAAUGGGCGAAAGCCUGACGCAGCCAGGCCGCGUGAAUGAUGAAGGUCUUAGGAUUGUAAAAUUCUUUCACCGGGGACGAUAAUGACGGUACCCGGAGAAGAAGCCCCGGCUAACUUCGUG